ACGCUCACAACGCUCUUUCGUCAUCGUCAAACAAAUCAAACCGCGGCCGUGAGUUGCCAUAAAGUUGAUCGCUUCUGGCGUCACGUGCUCUGCCGCCAUGAUCA
rnacentral:antisense_RNA from 1 species